CGGCAAGCUGUUACAGUAAGCAUAAAAACAAGCACGUCACACGAAGAAUAAAGUGCCAAGUUUCUGUCUCCCUGCCAACCUCAUUAGAAACCAGGGGUAAAGCACGUAUGCAUGCCAUUACAUCAUGCAUGUAAUUAGACAUUUGAAGCCAGCUCAGUAGGGGACCUUCUUCAUGCUUUUCUAAGUGUGCAGCUCCCAGUUCCGCACGGGAACCUGGGCGCCUCUGUUUUCCCUAAUCCUUUGUCCCUAUGGGGGUGGGACGGCGAAGGGAAAGAGGCGUGUCCCCAUUGACCGGAGCUCCGAGGUUCUGGAAAAGUCCUUCUUGCACACGUCUGUGAGAGUGGAACUGCCCUACUUUUCCGUCGCUGUGUGUUUCUUGUUGAGGACGUGUCGGUAGCCUGAUGAUGAGUUUCGUCGUCACACAGGGCGACACGGAUGGCCUGGCUCUUAAAAGGAAGCGCGGAAAGUAAUUGGGAACUGUACGAUCCGCUUGCCCGGCGGAGCGUAAAGCAAGACUGUGUUGUUCUCUGCACCCUUGACGGACUUGUGCGGUCUCUGUGUUUGUGGGGUGAAGGGACGCUGGAUUUGCCCGCCUCCUAGGCCUGCCGUCCUGCGGGCUGCCCUGAGGGAGGAAGCGGAAAGACUGAAGGUCCGGCCAGCAGUUGAACCAGAGUUUGGCAUCUGGCACUCUUCGAUAAAGUCUCAUCGAGUAGCUCCUGGGUGAGCGUUAGGAUACAGCUUCAGGGCAUUCGCCGGGGACUAGGCGGGCUCCAGCUGGAAUCCUGGCACAGCCACCUGCUAGCCUUUUUGCCUCCAGCAAAUGUAACUCGUUUGGUCUCAGCUUCUUCACUUGUAUGUAGCACUGGAGAAUGCCGAUCAUGCCCACCCACCCACAGGCUUAUGUUGAGAAUGAAAUCAGAUCAUGACUACAAAGCAUUGAGGACGGGGCCUGACCGGCCUAAUGGCACUUGCUGGUAGUGUCAUCAUUGGCUUCUGUAUUGGAAACACAUGUAGCUGCCUUCUAGAAGCUUACGGUCCCGCCGGGGCUGUGGGACGCACGCACGGAUUUAGGAAGGAGAGAGGGGAUGUUGCCUCGCUGUGAUGUGGAUGGGAGACACUUGACGGAGACAUCAUGUAACAUGGGGGCCCCCGUGCCAGCUCCGGGGGUGUGGGCCGCCUGGUGGUCUUUGUGGAUGGUGCAGUGGUCGCCAAGGUUGGGAUUUUGGCUGUGACCAUGAAGGACGGGUGGAAUUUGGGUAGAUGGAAGAAGGCUGACGAUAGAGCCGGUGGGAGUAAACCAGCUUCUUUCAGAGGAAGGGGAGACCUCCCAGCUGGCAGGAGGGACGUUGGCCCUGAGAAUGAGGAGGCUGUGAGGGUGCAGGGGCCUCCAGGGUUUUGUUGCUUUCCAGCUGCCUGGGCUGGGUGGAGUGGACCUUCUGGUGUGAUGGGUACUCAUCACGGGGAAGGGCCUCUGUUCUCUUUGUAUUUUCUUCAGUCCGGCCUCCUUCGUGUAGGGCGGAGCUUGCUGUAUUUCCUAAAGGGCACUUCUCUCUGAUCGCCCUUGGGUCUGGGUGAGUGACCCAGAAGGUUCUCUUGCUCUGUCUGCCAGGGUUUGUUCUAUUUCAUUCAUGUCUCUCAGACCUCCUUUUGUUAAAAACCACGCGGACUCAGUCUGCGGUGAGAUGACGAUGCUGUGUGGCCGCCUUCCCUGGGUCAAUCUGUAUAGCUUUGGUGUCUUUUUAACUUCUUUUUAAUUUUUUUUUUCUUUUCUUCACUGUAUGGGAUUUAUUCUGAUCUUUAAGGGCCCUGACAUGCUUUAAGGAUAUCAUGACAUACACGAGGUGGCAAGAAACCCUAUUCCUUAUGAUCUGACUUCCAUUAGUUUUGAGGCAUGUCUUUGGUAGAUUUUGGCUUUUUGGAAGUCCAUCUGACAUCUUUGGUAGAUUUUGGCUUUGAGGAUGUAAAUAAAACCAUAAUGAGCAAAAAGUAAAAAAGUGUAUUCAAUUAACUUGUAAGUCACUUGAGGUCAGUGAAUCAUCUGAGUUAUUUUAUAAAACACACUUUAUUGGCUAUUCGGUGUUACCUGAUGCUCUAAAGCGGGGGUCAGCAAACUCUCCGUAAAAGGGCCAGAGAGCCAUUAUUUUAGGCUUCUGGGUCAGUUCUCUGUCAUAAAUACUCAAUUCUGCCUUUGUGGUGUGAAAGCAGAUAUAGAUAAUAGAUGGAUGUGGCUGUUUUGCAAUAAACAAAUUUUAUUUGUGGAAAUAGAUGGUGGGCCAGCUUUGGCUCUCUGAAGUAGUCUGCUAACCCCUACUCUAAAGGAAACAGAUUUUGUUAGAUUGGGACGGUAAGGAGACAUUUAAAAGUAGGUAAAUGACAACAUUUCCAGCUAAUUAGCUCCACCAAAAGCUUAAAAAAGGUUUUUCUUCUAUUGUUUGAAUUAAAUUUCAUGUUUCAUAUUGAGUUUAUAAAUAAGCCUUAAAUAUCAUUUAUAGGGUUUGCUUUUUUUUUUUUUUUUAAAGCUAGGAUCUAAGGUUCAAAACAUGCCUGUCUUUAUUAAGUAACCAUUUAUUAAAUGUUUUUCUUGUGUCAGGCACUGUGCAAGUCAUUGGAAAUUCACAAAUAACUUAGGCACACACCUUUCCUCUUGGAAGCCACAGUCUAGACUGUGCACUCAUCAUUGCCAAAUGUUGGCUCAUGCCUUGGACCACAGCACAUAUAUGGCCCACGGUCCCCAGGAACCUGUAUUCCAAAAGAGCCAAAUGUUGGCUUGUGCCUUGGACCACAGCACAUAUAUGGCCCACGGUCCCAAGGAACCUGUAUUCCAAAAGAGCCAAAUGUUGGCUCGUGCCUUGGACCACAGCACAUAUAUGGCCCACGGUCCCCAGGAACCUGUAUUCCAAAAGGGCCUCUGUCUGCUUCAUGUGCAUUUGGGACUUGAGUAGUUUUGUUUCUUUUGAUUUGUGUAUUGUUGGAGAAAGCCUGCUUGAGGAAUUUACAAGUGGCGAAAAUAUUUAUUUUAGUAGCUCAGUUGCCAAAAAUCUCAGUCUUGAUGAUUCAAAAAGUUAUGUGUUUUCCUGCCCUUUGUAGUUUUUACUUAGUCACCCUAAUUCACUUUUUGAGUUUUUACUAAGUUCUCCCUACCAAAUUAUGGGCCAGCCCCGCCAGACUGCAGAGGAUGCUUUUCUAGAAGUAUUGAAACACACAGGUAUCCAGGAUUCUUGUGUGUCUACAGUGCUCCCAGAGUGGUGCUCUCUGGACCAGAGCCACUAGGCCCUUGCAGAUUGGGUGGAAAUGUUGACUAGCCUAGGGGGAGGCCAUUCCUGGAGGAGGAAGCUGGAUAGUGUGAAUGGGUGUGGGAUGCGAGCUCUCCCAGCCCAGAUGGCCGGGUGGGGACUCUGACAGAGGGGGGACCUUGGAAGCCAGACUGACAUUUCCUGGGAUGGGACAUAGCAGAGAUAGGAAGUUGAUCACUAAGUAGAGGAAUGCCAUGAGAAAGUGGGGCUUUGGAGGGAUCGGUCCUUCUAUCAGCCAAAUGCAAGCUGGUAGGGAGAGGGAGGGAGGAAGGGAGGGAGAGAGGAGGUGGGAAAGAUUUGGGCUCAGGUGGUAUGCAGAAACCUUUGGGAGAGGGGGGCUUUCACCUUCUUUUUCUCCGCAUAAUUAUAAAAAAUUUGCCAAAAGAACUGCUCUGGUAGAGUUUCCUGGGGUGAGAGGAAGUACUUUGGGUUGAGAUGAGGGACGAAAAUUUGAGAAAAAGGUACGUUUUUACAAUCACAGUUGGGAGUGCUGAGCAUGUGAGGAGGGAAUGAAUAUAAAGUUAUAUAAAUAGCAGCCAUUUAUGUAUUUGUCUAUUCCUCUAUAAAAAUACAGAGGAAAGGCCUUUUUAUUUUUCCUCGUUUCUUCUGAAGUAGCAGCUUGUUUUGAAAGAGAAGGGAAAUUCUAGUUUGUCCCUUUGGGGUCUUGAAGAGGCAGCUGGUGGUAGUAAGAUGGGCUUGACUUACAGUAUUUGAAGCACCAAGAAGUGUCUGCAUAAGGUUUUAAACCUGCACAGGCGCACAGGAAUGGCAUCACGCCUAUCUGAAGUAUUUCAGAAAUGAAAAAGAAAAAUAAUAACUUCCAAAGGUGCGAGUGAUUUCUGCAGAUACGUCACAGUUCAUAGAGAAGAGUGUCAUCUGCGUCUGGUGACACUGAUGGGGUCCCUGUGUACCGGGUGGGAUGCAGUCCGCCUUCAAGUCUGUUUUGUUGUCAGCACUGCGGUAUUUUCUCUUCAACAAGAUAACCUUGGCAUCCUCCCUCUGUUAACUUUUUGUGUCCUGAUUACCUUGGAAUGAAAGUCCUAAAAUAGAAAACUGUGGGUUA